GGCGGGGGCGCGCGCCGCCGCGGAGGGGAAAGGGUAGAGCCACAUCCUGGACCCUGCACUAUUUUCUACCAGUAACACAGCAUGCGGGGUGCCGGUGGCUGUGUUUCCCUGGACCCCCACUGCCUCUCACCUCCCUGGAGACACUGUGAAAUACAAUGCACAGGAGAUGGUAUCAUGGGGACAGCUGACUUCUUACAGGAUUGAAACAGAACUCUACGGUCUUUUCUCAACGCAGCAUGAAGAGCAAGCCUCCUAAAACAUUAAUCAAAUCAUAUCACUCCACUGGUCAAAAUCUUGUGGUGGCUCUCCAUAUUC